UGAGAGUUGCUGUGGCCAUGGUGUCUCUUCACAGCAAUAGAAACCCUAAGACAAUGAGCUUAUCAAAACGUUAGUCAUCCCCCAGCCCCAUUGCCUAAUUAUGAUGUGGAGCAGUCAUCAACAGAUGAAUGGAUAAAUACAAAGUAGUAUGUACACAAUGAAGUUUUAUUCAGACACAAAAACAUUUCACGUUCAAGAGAAAAAAAUAAGGCACAUAUAAUUACAUAAUUAGCACUUAAAGCUUAUUGGUAGAUACACAGGAAUUCAAACAGAGACCCAGGUCGAUUAAAAAAUGUUGGGCCUUCCUUCUCUCCUGAAGGGUGGACUAGUUCACCAUUUUUAUGAUGGAUCCGUCUGCACCCUUUCUAGAAUCGCACUCUAGUCAUCUGCCAGCAUUUCAGUGCUCCCACAGUCCUUGGACCAGGCUGUCCCCGACCCCCAGUGUGCUAGUGAUGCUCUUUGGAAUUUGGCACUUUCUAUCAGUUAUUUUCAAAUGUAGACCCUGCCAGUUUGGAAACAAAUGGAAAAGUCCUACUCAACAUUCUGGUAUAUAUGACAGACAUAGGAAAACAGUUUUAUGUACCGAAAUAUAUUGGUUUAUAUUAUAUUAUCUUUAAAGCAUCCCUCUGUUUACUUUCCAGAGUCCUGGUUCAUUUUGGGGCCCAAUUAUUAAGGGUCUGAUCUUUGAGAAGACUGUGGUUCUUCUAAGGGUGUAUGCAUUUUAAUAGGCUUAACUAAGACCUAGGAAAUGACUCAAAGUCCUGAGUCAAUAAUGGGAUGAUUUCAGGCAAUGUGACAGGUACUGAGGGAUGUGCUUUUGGCCAGAGGCCCUGCCUGACUCCAUUCAAAUUUCAUAGAAUAGACAGUUGUCUACUCCAUAAGCGAAUGGACAAUAUCCUUUUCUACUUUUUUCCCUUCAUAAUUUUGACACAAGCUAUGCGGUGGCAAGCAGGUACUGACUGGUAGUAUCCAUUAUGUAUGGGGGCCAAUUUUAUUAAGGAUCUGGGAAAUCCCUCCCUUGGUGGCAUAUUUAGAAAGUACUAUUGGCAUCCCGUCCCUCCGUGUUACCAGUGAGUGACAUGUCAAUGUCUUGAAGCCUGAUCUUAAUUAUUCACUCUCUGCCAUUUCCAGAGCCUUGAGAUGGCUUUCGUCUGUGCUGACACAUGGAAUAUACCAAAGAGCAUUUGUAGAUUACAAAUAUAAAUACAAGAACAAAGAGGAAAAGUUAGAUAUAUAAAAUUACAUAUAUGCAUAUUAACACAUAUAUAGGUAAAGGCGAGCCACCCCACCAGUGUGCUGUAUCCAGCAGAGGAGGUAUGAGCCUAACUCAGUCACAUAUGUAAGAAGCCUCAGUGACUUUUUAUCUUGAUCACCCCCUAGGGAAAUGCUGGAUUAUUUAAAUGCUACUAUUAAUAUUUAUGUAAUGUUUUCUAGUAUACAAUUUGCAGAGUACUCUUCUGAGGACAGAAUAAGGUGACAGAGAUGAAAAUGAAGUUUGUAAAUUAGAGGUUGGAGAAUGCAUUUUAUACUAAUUUUUAUGCUAUUGUUGGGAUUCAAGUUUUAGGUUACAUCUACCUGGGAAGUAGGGCUGAUGUGAGUUGGAUUUUCAGUGUUACUGCCAGAAUGGCUGUCAUGAACAAAUACCUUCACUGAGAGGAAGGGAGAAUGACUUGGGAGCCAAGGAGUGAGGAUUUUCUUGCCCGCCCUGCUGAUAGCAAACCUUUGGGCAAAUCUUUCAUCUCAUGCGGGUCUUUGAGAGCUCCUCUAUAAAAUGAAGACCAUCUCAUUUUCCGCAGGAAGACAGCACAUGAUCUUAUAAAUAAUAAAAGAAAACCCUUGCAAGACUUGAUCCAGGGGUGUGAAAUAUGUGCUAAGAAUGUAAUUUAUUUCAGUCUGGCGUAUUUUGACUGAAUAAUCAUGAAGGUGACUAAUUAAUAUUAUACUACAACGUGGGCAAAGCAGUGCAGUAGCCAAUCUAUGUGCCUUUGACCUCUGGAGACCUGUGCCCAAGCCUUCGAGGGCCCACGACCACCAAACAGGGUUUUGGAGAAGACAGAGGGGCCCUCACAUGGAUUCCCUGGAUGUGAAGACCCCUGACUGCAUUCUACAGCCACCCUGAACACAAGUCCCUGCUCUCAAGUGACAAGAGAAAGAAAAUAAGAAAUUUGAAGUUUCUGGAUGCUGUGGGAUUCCCAUUUCUCUAUCAUUCUGCUACUUGGAAUUUAAUCAUUAGACAUCACCAAGAAGAAACUGGAUUGUUGGAGAUGAAGAACCUGUACUCAACAGUGGGUAAUUCUGAUCUAUGACUAAAUUGUGAAUAAAUUAUGUAGGGAGGUACAGAAUUAAAUCAGCCUAUAUACUUUAGGAAAUGUGCUGGAGGCC